GAGCGCUGGCGGAAGAAUAAGUCUGAUGUGAAAGCCCUCGGCUUAACCGAGGAACUGCAUCGGAAACUGUUUUUCUUGAGUGCAGAAGAGGAGAGUGGAACUCCAUGUGAAGCGGUGGAAUGCGUAGAUAUAUGGAAGAACACCAGUGGCGAAGGCGGCUCUCUGGUCUGCAACUGACGCUGAGGCUCGAAAGCAUGGGUAGCGAACAGGAUUAGAUACCCUGGUAGUCCAUGCCGUAAACGAUGAGUGCUAAGUGUUGGGAGGUUUCCGCCUCUCAGUGCUGCAGCUAACGCAUUAAGCACUCCGCCUGGGGAGUACGACCGCAAGGUUGAAACUCAAAGGAAUUGACGGGGGCCCGCACAAGCGGUGGAGCAUGUGGUUUAAUUCGAAGCAACGCGAAGAACCUUACCAGGUCUUGACAUCUAGUGCAAUCCGUAGAGAUACGGAGUUCCCUUCGGGGACACUAAGAGAGGUGGUGCAUGGCUGACGUCA
rnacentral:rRNA from 1 species